ensembl:rRNA 5S_rRNA 5S ribosomal RNA
GUCUACAACCUGCUCUGGGAGUCCCCGGCCACGCCACCCUGACCGUCGGUCUCGGAAGCUCAGCAGGGUCGGGCCUGGUGAGUACUUGGAUGGGAGACCACCUAGGAAGAGCAGGUGCUGUGGGCG